AUUAGUCCAUACGAUGUUUGUUCAAAGUGUUUCCGAAUGCCGUUUCCUGGAGACAACAUGGACGACAAUGAAUAGGACGAACAAGAAAGAAGAGAAUACGCCGUGGUUGUGAUGCUACAUUCCGACAACAUGCUACACUAAAGACGCGGGAAGGAGAUGGCGUUUAAACAAGAAAUAUAUCUAGGAUGAAGCGGCUUUAAUUUUAAGAAGCUACAACCUACCCUACGAAUCAGGGUAAAGCAAUGCUGAAACAGGCGGUUCCGGUGUAUACAGGGUGUCCCAGAACUGGGGUAG